AAUGAACGCUGGCGGCGUGGUUAAGACAUGCAAGUCGAACGGGUUUUCUGGUGUAGCAAUACAUUAGAAAAUCAGUGGCGAACGGGUGCGUAACACGUGAACAAUCUACCAUUUAGUGUGGAAUAGCUCGCCGAAAGGCGAAUUAAUACCGCAUGUGGUUGGCUCUCGCAUGAGAGACAUACUAAAGUCAGGGACCGCAAGGCCUGACGCUAUUUGAGGAGUUCGCGGCCUAUCAGCUAGUUGGCGAGGUAACGGCUCACCAAGGCUAAGACGGGUAGCUGAUCUGAGAGGAUGAGCAGCCACACUGGAACUGAGACACGGGCCAGGCACCUACGGGUGGCAGCAGUUUCGAAUCAUUCACAAUGGGCGAAAGCCUGAUGGCGCGACGCCGCGUGAGGGAUGGAGGUCUUCGGAUUGUAAACCUCUGUCACUGGGGAGAAAACGCUUCAGGUUAAUAGUCUGAAGCCUGAUUUAACCCGGAGAGGAAGCAGUGGCUAACUCUGUGCCAGCCGCCGCAGUAAUAC
rnacentral:rRNA from 1 species